ACAUCUCCAGGGCUUCUUCCUUUUUCCUUAAUUCACACAUGCUGACUAUGUGAAAGAAUGAAUAGCUUAAAACCUGAUAUCCCUGAUAUCUCAGGGAUAUCCCCCUUAGACUGGAGAUAUCCUGGUAUCAUCAAGUUCUGCCCUGAUAAAAUUACUGAAUAAAAAUAGUGAAAAUAUUUGGGGGAACCUGAAUGUGCAGUAGACUCAUCUAGAUGUUUCACUUUUGACCACAAGUCUUGGGAUUAAAGCAUCUCUGGUUGAUCCCUGUAGCUGCUGACCUUUAGUGAACAACUGCUUAAAGUUCUCCUUCAGCAGUUGGGCAGAUCUAAGGAGACAGGAGAAAAAACCCCAAGCAAACAACAAAAAACCAAUAUUAAAAAGAUUGUCAAAGACAGCAGAAAUAAAACCACCUUUUAAAUCACUAAACUUAUUCCUAUUAAUUGUGCAUGAUGCUGUGCUGUAUAAAUAUAAUCUUCCUCAAGCUUCAGCCAGUAUCACCAAACACACAAUAACGUUAGGUUUUUCCCUCCUCAGGGAGAAUGACAGGCUUUGUUCAUGCCACAGCCUCAUUGCCACAGUCUGCAAACCUCCCAGUGUAGAAGUGCCACUGCAAAUAGCGUAAGAGUCACAGCUGCCCUGUCCCUCAGAGAUCAUGGUGUUCCCACAGAAACCAGCACUCCCAUGCUUAUGUCCAAACCAUGCAACACUUUGUAAUAGAAAAUAAAUACUUUUUACAGCACUCAGAAGCAAAUAGUGAUCCUGUAAGAUUCUUGUACAUUUGGGUCAAAUGUUUUUUAAAAAAUUGAGAAAGACAUAACAAGCAGUUUGGGGAGUGGUGUAAACUGGAAUGUAUCAGGUUCCCUAAUGCUGCACGUUUCAGAUUUCCACUGAAGAAGAUGUCAGUCUCAGAUGAACCAAUGAAAGAUUGUGUAUCCAGUGAUCAGACUUUGCUUCAGCUCUAGGUUGUUAGUCUCUCCUAGAAUCCAGCUGUUUUUUUUUAGUAUGGAGAAUAAAGACACAAAGAAUAAAGAUGACCACUAAAUUACAGCAGAGCAAAACUCGUACUCUCUUAACACACUGAAUCUCAAUAAAUAUUUCUGCUAAAUAUAUAAGGAAAAUUACUCCAGUGAUAUCUCAGGAAGUAAUUAUACUUCAUUACCUUUGUAGGAGUAGCAAGGUUCAAGCCUGGUAUAGUUUGUUUUUAUUUUUCCCUAAAAAAGACAUAAUCAUAAAAUAAAAACCAAAAUCCUUGAACAGCACAAAAGUGAAAGGGGAAUAACAUCUUUAAUUUCAUAAACCUCUGUCUAACCAAGGGGUUUAAAACAAUAAACAAUUCUAGUCCACAUUGUUGAAGCUCAGCAGAAUAAAAUGAAUCCAGAAGGUUUUGUAUGUUCAUAACUUCAUUCCUGGUGAUGAAAAGGCAGAUACCAGAUCAGGUAACCUUUUUCCCUAGAGGCAUUUUGCUGCCUUUUGAGUAGGUAUCAACAGUGGUUCGGUAUUUACAGUUUCCAUGUCUCUGCUGGCAAAUAGGAAUAGUGAUCCUGACAUCUUUCACAAAGCAUUGUGAGCCCUGUGGAUAAAAAGCAUCAUCAAAGAGCUUGGUGGUGUUAUGGUUCAAUAAUUCUCUUGCAGCUCUGCUUAUAGCCCUCAUUGUGGAGCAAGUGCCAAAGGAAUGACACAAUGGUUACAGUCAAGAACUUUGGGUUGGGGCUUCAUUAGUUAUUGCCUGUAAAGAAACACUCUCAAUAGCAUGAAGCACUACAAUCAUUAAAACAGUGUUCAGGAAAAGCCCUCAUUCCUAUUUUUAGCACUAACUGGUGGGGAAAUUGUGCAUUCAUCAGCUGUUGAAGCUACAUGGCCGAGUAUUGUCACUAUUUAUAUCUGCUCUGAAAACAAAGAAGCAGGAGGAUUUUUUUCCCAGCUAAGUACAUUGUGCAGUAAAAGAGUUCAGCUUUCCCUAGGCAAGGUGCAUAAAGCCUGCCAGACGCGGAGAGAAGCUGUCUCCAAAUAGGGAACAAAGGUUUUACAACCAUAUUCUAUCCUCAUACUUUAGAAACCCAGUAAAUUUCAUGGGAGUAAAAAGGUUUUCUGCAGCCCUACCUGUUCUUUUUGUAUAAAUCUGGAUACAGUUUUGGGUUUUCAGAGGUGUGUAACUUCCUGAUUGGAUAUAAAGUUCUUUCAAGUGUCUUUAGAGGUAUUAAGCCAUAAAUCUAUUUUUGGCUGAAGAUUUCAGGAUAUCCUAAGGGAAAAAAAAAUUAAAAUUACAAUAUUUUUUUUUAGUUUCUACUGCUGCCUCCCCUAAAUAUAUAAACAGAUACAAAAGAUUUGAUCAGACAACGCUGACCAAAUCUGUGACUACCAUGACAUUCCAAAUCAGUACUGAAAUUGGCAGUAAAUUCUUGUCUACAAUCUGCUUAACGUGCACACAUAAAGAUGAGAAGGUAGAUGGUUGUUUUAGCUGGGUAGGUUCUUUGGAAUGUGGAAUGGACCAGUUCUUUUAUAAAAUUGAGUUAUUAUUUAGGUAGGAGUGAACAGGAAGGUAGAAGAUAAUACUGCAUGAAUAAUAGAAAGAGUUAAAUUUGAUGUGAAAAAAGGUGGAAUUUAAUCUUGUAGAAAAAAAGAGACAUUAAAAGCAUGAGUAUCAAAUGGUAAGCAAAUGAAAACAUGCUGUUUUCAUGUCCAGAACUACAGCUAUCAGAAUGAACAAGAAAGAGAAUGAAUAUGGGAUGUUGAAGGGUUCUGAGAUGACAUACAUGUGUAUGCACACACACACGUGUGUAUACAUAUAUGUAUAAAAAAAAAAAUCACCUACUUAAUCACACCAUGGAGGUGGUGGUUGUGGUAACAAACUAGAACCUCCAGGUAUUUAGCAUGGUUGAUAUUGUCUCUAGUUACAGUUACAUUACCUCCAGCAGAGCUGGGGAGGGAGCAAGACUGGGAGAGAUGUUGCUACACUGUGCGUACAUUAAAGUAGGAAAUUUUAGGGCCAAGGAAGGCCCAUGGGAGUUUGGGGCAAAACAUUCUGUCUGCUGUGACUCAAAUUCAAGGGUACAGUUACGACACGUUUUAAUUUGAAGUAAGCAGUGGAGCUUUUGGACACAGACAACUGUGUUGAUUAGUUUUAGAGAUUUUCUACAACCAACAUACUCUGUAGGCUUGAUAGAGAACUGGGGACACCCAAGACAGACUACACUACGUAUUGUGAAGGCCCUUAAAUAAACUUUUUGUGCUGAUACAAUCUCCUAAGUGGCCACAUAGUUAAGACUCUUGAUUUUUGAAAAUAUACAUAAUACAAAAAGAUUUCAAGGGUAACGAUCAUCCCGAACAAAUUCGAGAGCUGAAGUUAUUACCUUCAUUCUCAGAAUCAGCUGUUGGCACCUUUAUUGGCUUCUCCACAAACUGAUCUAAAAAUGUGAGGUGCAUCUGAAAAGAGAUGAGAGUUUUCAAUAUUCUGUUACAAAUAGUGCACCACCAGAAUCUUGAGUAAAUUCCUGAUUGUGGUUAACAGGCAGUUCUGAACAAAGGGUCCUCACAACAGGGAUGGAAAGAUAUAACAUGGUGGGUUAUUGCUUUGCAGAGUAAUACACAGUAUGGUUAGGCUUCCUAAGAACUGUUUCAUCUAAAUUUCAGUGUGUUUAGAAGUUGCUUCUAGACUCAUAAAAUCCUAGAAAUAGGGAUUAGUAGGCAGAAAAAGUAGUAUAGGUAGAGUAUUAUGCUAACAGUGCAGAAUUGUUCCUAGAAUAUAUUUUCUAGUGUUAGGAGUGGGGGUGCUUCAACCUACUUAAAUGUUUUUAGGCCUGAGGCUUCUACUGCUUCCCUUAGGAGAUUGUUCUAGAGUCUAUUAGAAUUCACCACUAGAAAGCUUUUCCUGAAAAUGAAUUUAAAUAAUCCUUUUUGUAAUUUUUAUCUCAUUAGUCCCAGUUAUACCCUUUUGCACCACUCUAAAUAAUUCCUCUAACCAUGAUUUAUAUCCUUUGAAUAUUUUUAGAUAGUUAUCAAGUUCAUUGCCUUUGCUCAUUUAUUAGAGAUGCUGUGAAUCCCUCCUUGUCCCAGUUCAUUCCUUCAGUCUCAUAUUUCUUACCUUUUCAUGAAACAUCAUUAAUACAAAAACUAAGCCCUUGGAAUUUCCUUACAUUAGUCACGGUCAGUUCACUCUGUUAAGUGCUCUGUGUUGGUGUGUGUCACUGGUUGUCAAAGGUUAAACAAUAAAUUGAAACUUGAUUUUUUAAAAAAAUCUUUUCUGUAAUCUAUGGAUAAGUUCUCAUUAUAUGAAUUUGGCAGUGUCUUUUAUAUCGGCAUGAUUUGACAAAGCCAACCAAUAAAUGCUGGAGCCAACCAAACAAUAAUACAAAGUUGUAAUUUGUUAAAAAUGAGAUUGCUAUCAUUAUUGUAAAACCAGACAGUGUCAUUCAAGUGCCCAUGCUUUUAAGUCUCCCUACACUAAACUAUCAUGAAUACGUUCAUUUAAGACAGAUUGUGUUGCUUCUCCUCAAAUCUCAUUGGUAGAAUGCACCUGCUUUCUAAAACAAGUACUCAAGAUUUCCAGCCAUGUGCUAACUGCUGCAAAGAAAUAGAAUUGUGCCAGCUCUUCUGAUUACUGCCAAGCAUUAUAUUGCAAAUUUGUGAUGCAUUUAUGGUCUCUGACUGGCAUGAUGACUAGAUGGUUCAUUUGCAAGCAUGCCUCAAGCAAACCUCUGUUCUCUGGCUCAGAACCCUGAUCACUCAGGCAAGCAGGAAGGAUGUACACAGUCAGCUUGGGUCUUUUAAUUGAUCUGUUUCCUCCUUCUGCUCCUGCCUUGUGCACCUGGAAGCCAACCCAAAACUGAAAUCCUUGUGCUCAAAGACCCACUGCAUCACUAAGACCCGAGGGAAAUAAAACCAUUGUCCUCAUUUGCUCUGUCUACAAGGGCUGGUGUGAAAGGGAGAGCAGGAACACAAAGGCUUCCAGUGGGGACUUUGGGGAACUCUACACUUCCCUCAGCACAUCUUUGUCCCCAGUAGGUGUCAAUCAGCAUUGUGCAAACUAUAUUGUAGGAAGAGAUAAAUUGCCAUCUUCUUGGUCACUUGCCACUUCUCUGCUCACCUUUCCAAAACGAGCCAUUGCUCAAAGAGUAACCGAAGUCUAAUAGACUUAGUGGGAAGAUGAAUGAGCCUUGUAAGGUGAGGAGGCUGCAACAAAAAGGGAGAGAGAAAAGAAGAGUAAUUCCUGAGCAAGGAACUGUAAAACAUGACUUAAAAUGUGAGGAGCAGCAGAGCAGGAAUCAGACAUUCACCCUGAGUAUUGCUGCAGUUUGGUGAAAGGGGUUGUUCUAAUUAAAAUUAACCAUAUAGUUAUUAAAACUUUUAUAUGUUACUGAGAGUGUGGGAUUUUGAAGAGUGAGAAAUUCUCAUCAUGCUGAAUGUAACAGCUGUGCUCUAGUUGGCUGGGACAAUUCUAUUUCAUAUUUCAUCAUAGCUUGACAGUAAAAGUGAUACUUAUCUGCCUGCAAAAAUGUAGAACAGUUCAUCACUUCCCAGAUUGCUUCCAUGUUGGUGUAUUAGUUCUUGUUGAGGAGCAGUAACUGCAGUUGGUAGCAUGUAUUUUGUAGCUUGGGAUUGCUUCCUAGCAGUCCAAUUUCUGUGUAGUUGUGGCCACUUCUAUUGAUAAUAAAAAUAUACCAGAGAAGGGAUUCAAAUAAAGAUAUGCUGUAUGGUUGUGACUCCUUAAAUAUGUCUCAAACCAACAGACUCUUCAGUUCAGGAGAGAUGCUCUUAUAUGAAAUAUUUUAAUGUUUAUGUGAAACAACCAUAAACCACAUCUUGAAAUGUCUUGUUGCAGAUGCUAACUGCAUUUCUGAAAGCAUGAAUCUAUACCAUUUAUGCAGUAUGAUGAAUUAAAUGACUAUAUGCAAUUAAAAAGGUGAAUAUGAAAUUAUUUUUGAACAGAUACAAAUCUGCUGUGUAAAAAAAACCCCAACCCUUUCUAUAUGAAAAUGUACAGUAAAUUUUGACACAUAAUACAGUACAUGGAACCUAACUUUACAUAUAGUGGGAAGAAGUUGUACAAAACCCCUUCCAUGGCAUAGUGGUGUCUUUCAAAAAGCCAUGUC